rnacentral:misc_RNA from 1 species
AUCGACAUUUCGAACGCACAUUGCGGUCCUCGGAUACUGUUCCUGGACCACUCCUGGCUGAGGGUCGCAUCCAUCAGACUGCCGGCCUUUCGUCCUCCGGGACGGARGCGCCGCGCGCAAUUGAGAGUUCGCUCGGGUUCCCGCACGGGUCCCGCCGGCGUCUCUUCAAAUCACUGACGGCCGUUUCCGAGCGCCCCGUCCCUCUCCCCCUCCGGGGGGCAGCAGGCGGCGACGUCGUUCGGUACGGCUUCUUGAGCGUCGGCGCUUUGCGCCCGUACGGUUCCGCGUUGAGCGCGCGGCCGCCCGGCUGACGUGUCCUAGACUAAUUUAUUACGACUAGNAAGACNUCCGGCUUGUGUUUUUGUGGCCCGCGUGCGGNAGCACACCAAACGUACGGUUGCGCNUNAUNNNNAAGCGCCGCGCGNAAGCUUUGC